rnacentral:lncRNA from 1 species
UAAAACCUUAAAUAUUGCCCUAAAAGCUAGCCGCCCAAUCUCUAAAAACCAAGUCUCUUAUUUCUACUAGGAAGCUGACUAAUAAUAAAAUAUAUUAAAACAUAAAAUCCUAAUUGAGUUAGGAUAGACUGCACAGAAACUGUCUAGCCACGUUUUAGCCUCAAAUCUCCUCCAAUUCCGGGCCAACAUAGUUUGUUUUAAAGAUAAGAACGUUCUGAACACAUCUCCAGAAGGCCCGAACCCAUCCGAUCUCUUGCAUACAUCGGCAUCACAUCCUUCUUCUGUCGAGUUGCCAAAUGGAUUAGGUGUUGAUAUAAUUUCUACUGGUUCCUUGAAAAUUAAUUAUGAUGUUAUUAAAGAUGUCCUUUAUGUUCCCUCCUUCAAUCAAUUUGCUUUCGGGCUGGGUGUAUAUCUUUUAUUUUUCAGAGACCUCAAAAGGCCCAAGGCCCAAGGCCCAAGGCCCAAGUCUUGAUUAUUUAAAUAUUAUUAUUAAUCAAGCAAGGCAACUAUCAUAGUCUUCACUACCAAGCCCAUCAGCUCACCAAUCUUAUUUAAUUGGUGUUAAGGUUUCAUGCUUAUAAAGCAUGUGGAACCUUUUGUUUUCUCCAAUGUGAGACAUUUGCUUUCAAACUUCCAACAAUAUUAUCUUACCAAGCCCACGGAUAUCAAGCCUCCACUUGCAGCACAUACCACCUCUACCAGUUCUUAUUUGUGGCACCGUCGUCUUGGGCACCCCUCUGCUGCCUCAUUACAAUUUCUGUCCAAAUUCUUAUAUGGUAUUCCCUUCAAUUUAAAUUCUCAUUGUGAAAUCUGUCCAAUGGCCAAACAGACUUGACUACCAUUUUCUUUAAGUUCUAUUUCUA